UUAUGCACACCAUCAAAUAAAGACAGU
rnacentral:piRNA from 1 species